AUUGAACGCUGGCGGCAGGCCUAACACAUGCAAGUCGAGCGAGCGGCGGACGGGUGAGUAAUGUAUGGGGACUGCCCGAUAGAGGGGGAUAACUACUGGAAACGGUAGCUAAUACCGCAUACUAUCGGAUAACCCAUAUGGGAUUAGCUAGUAGGUUAGGUAAUGGCUCACCUAGGCGACGAUCCCUAGCUGGUCUGAGAGGAUGAUCAGCAAAACGGGGAAGGAGAAACGGCCCAGAAUCCGACGGAGGCAGCAGGGGGGAAUAUGGCAAAAUGGGCGCAAGCCUGAUGCAGACAUGCGGCGUGUAUGAAGAAGGCCCUAGGGUUGUAAAGUACUUUCAGUCGGGAGGCGUUACCGAAAGAAGAAGCACCGGCUAACUCCGUGCCAGCAGCCGCGGUAAUUC
rnacentral:rRNA from 1 species